rfam:Streptomyces viridochromogenes strain NRRL 3414 P001contig28.1, whole genome shotgun sequence.
GGAGAGGUGCCCGGAGUGGUUUAUCGGGGGCCGGGGUUUUCCUCGGUCGGGUGGUUUGUCCGCCUGCGCAGGUUCGAAUCCUGCCCUCUCCG